GGGUUGUGAGGUUAAGCGACUAAGCGUACACGGUGGAUGCCCUGGCAGUCAGAGGCGAUGAAGGGCGUGCUAAUCUGCGAUAAGCGCCGGUAAGGUGAUAUGAACCGUUAUAACCGGCGAUACCCGAAUGGGGAAACCCAGUGUGACUCGUCACACUAUCAUUAACUGAAUCCAUAGGUUAAUGAGGCGAACCGGGGGAACUGAAACAUCUAAGUACCCCGAGGAAAAGAAAUCAACCGAGAUUCCCCCAGUAGCGGCGAGCGAACGGGGAGGAGCCCAGAGCCUGAAUCAGCAUGUGUGUUAGUGGAAGCGUCUGGAAAGGCGCGCGAUACAGGGUGACAGCCCCGUACACAAAAGCGCAUGUGCUGUGAGCUCGAUGAGUAGGGCGGGACACGUGGUAUCCUGUCUGAAUAUGGGGGGACCAUCCUCCAAGGCUAAAUACUCCUGACUGACCGAUAGUGAACCAGUACCGUGAGGGAAAGGCGAAAAGAACCCCGGCGAGGGGAGUGAAAAAGAACCUGAAACCGUGUACGUACAAGCAGUGGGAGCACCCUUUUACGGGUGUGACUGCGUACCUUUUGUAUAAUGGGUCAGCGACUUAUAUUCUGUAGCAAGGUUAACCGAAUAGGGGAGCCGGAGGGAAACCGAGUCUUAAUUGGGCGUUAAGUUGCAGGGUAUAGACCCGAAACCCGGUGAUCUAGCCAUG
rnacentral:rRNA from 1 species